UGAACUACGGAUAUUUUUAGGUGUACGAAUUAACUAUCGUCAUCACAAAUGAACACGUGGUGUUCGCGGAUUGCGGACACGACAUCGAUUAAACUGUUCCAAUUAUUUGCUGCGUUUCCUCUAUUUACAUCACCUUACACCUUCCAAUCUGAAGAAAUAGGAUCUGUUAUUACAAAGAAGAUUGAAUUAUUCUUACUCAUGGAAUAAAGUAUAAAUACCUCUUUGGCCAUUUUGCAAUAUGGGCAGCGAGUCUUGGAGAAUAUCACGAUUGAAUCCUU